AGUCGAACGGCAGCGCGGGGCAACCUGGCGGCGAGUGGCGAACGGGUGAGUAAUAUAUCGGAACGUACCCUGGAGUGGGGGAUAACGUAGCGAAAGUUACGCUAAUACCGCAUACGAUCUAAGGAUGAAAGUGGGGGAUCGCAAGACCUCAUGCUCCUGGAGCGGCCGAUAUCUGAUUAGCUAGUUGGUGGGGUAAAGGCCUACCAAGGCAUCGAUCAGUAGCUGGUCUGAGAGGACGACCAGCCACACUGGAACUGAGACACGGUCCAGACUCCUACGGGAGGCAGCGGUGGGGAAUUUUGGACAAUGGGCGCAAGCCUGAUCCAGCAAUGCCGCGUGAGUGAAGAAGGCCUUCGGGUUGUAAAGCUCUUUUGUCAGGGAAGAAACGGUGAGGGCUAAUAUCCCUUGCUAAUGACGGUACCUGAAGAAUAAGCACCGGCUAACUACGUGCCAGCAGCCGCGGUAAUACGUAGGGUGCAAGCGUUAAUCGGAAUUACUGGGCGUAAAGCGUGCGCAGGCGGUUUUGUAAGUCUGUCGUGAAAUCCCCGGGCUCAACCUGGGAAUUGCGAUGGAGACUGCAAGGCUAGAAUCUGGCAGAGGGGGGUAGAAUUCCACGUGUAGCAGUGAAAUGCGUAGAGAUGUGGAGGAACACCGAUGGCGAAGGCAGCCCCCUGG
rnacentral:rRNA from 1 species